AGUGAAUGUCCGUCAGAGUCCGCGCUGAGGGCAUAGAGAGCGAAAAGUCCGGCCAGACCGCUUUCCUCCCGAGAGCGGACGCGGCCGGCUAGGAUUCUCCGGGACAACGAGCGAAGGCGCUGGGCGGGGCCUUGCCGUUCCGCGGGACGCCGGGAAGGGGGUCACUCUCCGAGAGAGGUUCCGGUUCCGGGGCCGGCGGCCGAUUUCCCCGCGGGAGUGGGCCUGGGGCGGGCGGUUCGUCCCCUCUCCCAGAUCCAUUGAUUCCAGGUAAACCAGAGAAACAAGCAUCCUGAGAAAUGGUACACACGUGGAAAAUGCUACUGUGCUGAAGCAACUUGUUUCAGAAGCCAGUGAAGUAGGGAAUAUACUAAAUUCCUUCCAAAAGCAUCCAUCCAUUUAUUCAUGCUUAUACUGGACCCCAGGGCCGGAAGCACGGAUGUUAUGAAAGUUGCAUUUGACUUUCAAACCAAAACCCAACAUGCAAACAAGCCAGCUUCAGAGUGCACAGCUGUUGAAACCCGAAGGACAACACUCCAAGGAUCUCAAAAGUCAGAAGUGACUCAAAGUCACACAGCUCAUCAGUGGCAUGAACAAGGGCCAGGUCUAGGGAGGGGUCUUCAGAUCCUGUCCUGUGCCUCCUGCACACUUGAUAUUUAUAUUUUAUAAAAGCAGCAAAGCUAGGUGUGGUGGCGCAUGCCUGCAAUCCCAGCACUCAAGAGGCUGAGGCAGGAGGAUCGCAGUGAAUUCACCAGCCUGGGCUACACAGUGAGUUCAAGGACAGCCUCAACUGCAUAGUGAGACCUUGUCUCAAAAACAACAACAAGAGCAGCUCAAUUCCACGUGCCUGGAGAAGCAUCCUGAGUUACUGCCAUCCCUGCACUUGCCACUGAGAUGACUCCCUGCCACCCUCAGUGGCUGGGUAGCAUAGGCCCCUGAGGUGAACAUCCGACCCAGAGAAACCAACCAAGCAGGCUGGGGGGUCUCCCCAAGAAGCACGCGGGGAACCCCAGUGGGAAGGGAGAAGCCAAUGCUUGAAGAACUGGGAAACAGAAAACAAAGAAAGAGCAGAAGAAGCUGAGAGCAGAGCUCGGUUGAGAACCAGCUCUCCAUGCCCAGUCUGGGACUUCACUGAUGGGGCACCCCAGAAAUGGACACCCCCCCAUGACUUACUCUACCGCUUCCAGGGAAGCCGGAUAGAGACAGAAAUGGGAUCUGCAAUUUCCAGAACAUCAAUUACUACCUGGGGACCCUGGGCAGGGCCUCUCCUUCCUGUGCUAUGGCCUCAGUUUACCCAUUUGUACAAUGAGGGGCUACUAGCUGGAGAAGCCAUUUCGGCUUUUCUCCUCACCCCGGUGUGGAGAUGUAAACACACGACAACACAACACACCUACAAGAUGAGAGCCAUACAGACUGCAGCGGGAGCUGGCUGACCAAUGGCCGGUGCGGAGGCAAACCCAAAUUGUGCCCCCAGCUUAUUAUAUCAGCCCCUGCUUCCCCGUGAGGGGUGGUGGAGAUGCUGGCUGCAGAAAAGGUAUGGAGAAAAAGCUGUGAGAACUUCGCUCUUUGGGAGACAUUUUGUACAUUGCACAAACAGCCCCUGCUGUCAAGUGAGUCAGAAUUUCCGAAAGGCAUAAUUUUAGUGCCCUUCUUGCGGUUCCCUCUUCAGGCCGCUUCUGCAGGGGAGGCCUGGGCGGGGUUUCCUGUCUCAUUCCAGAGAUGACAGAGGGGUUCUCCCCCGGGCCUUGCCAGAGCUUUCUUUCCAGGCAGCCGUUACUGCGAAGAGGAAUCCAAGUGUUUGCAGCCCUUUCCAGCUCAGAAAUGGCUUACUUACCCUUUUGCCUUCUGCAUGGUCUACUAUAUUUUAUUUUAUUUUUUUGUACUGGGCUGGGAUCGAACUCAGGACCUUGCACUUUCCAGGCAGGUGGUGGCACCACUGAGCUAAAUUCCCAGCCCUGCAUGGUCUACUUUAAAGUGGAAAAAGACCACCACUGAACAAGAAAGUAAGGUCCCAGAUGGGGAGCAGCUCAAUGGUAGAGCGCAUGCUUAGAUGCACAAGGCCCUAGGUUCCGUUCCCAGCACCACAAUAAUUAAUAAUAAUCGUAAAGUCCUAUUUUUGUGCUUUGUUUAUAUUUUCAGUACUAGGGAUUGAACCCAGGGCCUUCAUACUAAGUACAAAUAAAAUAAUAAUAAUAAUAAUAAUAAUAAUAACUAGACAUAUCUGCUACUAUUUGCAGUUUGUAUAUGUUUUAUCACAUUUCUCCCUGUGAAAUUGUCAUUGCUAACCCUGAUAACAGAUGGAAAGCCCCAUGUCCCUGGAGGAGGUUCCAUGGCUUGCAAGGUUCACCUCUGUUAGAUAACAACAGGGAAAGUGGGGCCUGGAGUCCGAGUCUCCUCCUGGAGAGGAGAUCCACAGCUCCCAGCUCUGAGCAGCAGGAGGGCCCUUUCAACUCAGCACAGCUGGCCACCGGGUCUGUGCCUCCUCCUUCUCCUUAUUCCCAGAGAUGAGCGCACAGUAGGUCUCAGAUGUUUGAGGAAAGGUCCACAGUACUCAGACCUGGCCCAGAACCACCACGCUAGAGCUGGCUGAGGUGGGUGUUUACAAGGCCAGGCACAAAAACCGGUAGGAGGUGGGUUUCUAUUAUUAGAUUCUUUCAACAGAGGAGGAAACUGGAGGGUGAGUAACCAGCCACAAAGUUGCAAAUUGGGACAAUUUGUUGCCAUAGCCUGAGUACUUAACUCCAGGCUGGAGCUAACUCUUCCUAGAGGACAGGGAUUUUCUAGGUGGCUGGCUGCCCCACCCCCAGCAGGCUUGGCAGGGCUGGCUCUGCCCUGUACAAAUCACCUGGCCUCUUUGUGCCUCAGUUUCCCUCUAAGACAAAAGCAAACUUUUCCUAAACAGGUGUGGUGGUGCAUAACAGCACGCUGGAAAGCUGAGGCAAGACAGAAUUGCACACUUCAAAGCAACUUAGCUAGACUCUGUCUCAAACUAAAAAAAAGCCAGCAAUGUAGUUCAGUGCAAAGACCCUGGGCUCAAACCCCAGUACUAUCAAUCAUAAUAACGAAUACAUAUUAAAUACAUAAAAAUUAAAAAACCUUUUUCUACCUGGAUGAUCUUUGCAGAAAUUUAACAAGGAGACACACAAAAGCAACCUGAAAGGCGAAAAGUAUCAUCCAAAUGCAAGGAUAAUGACUGUUCACCACUGCCUGUACCUUCAACGUGGCUGAGUUAACCUCAGGGCCUGUGGCAACACCUCUGGAGGAGGAUGAGGUAUUCAAUGGAACACCUGGAACCAGUCAGGGGAGGAACAGCCGAGGAGGCCCGUUGUAGGGCCUUUGUAGGGUUGACCCUCACAAUUACGAUUUAAUAAAAGAUGAAAGUUGGGGGUGUUGUUGACACCAGCGUUUUAACUCCAUGUUAAUCCUGGGCUUUGCCUUGCACCACGGAAACACACACACACAAACACACACUCCAUCACUACCUGCUCCUGUUUGACAAUUCAGUGACCGACUUUCACACUGAUUUCUUCUGCCAGCCCUGCUAAGAAACAAGAGGAAAACAGCCUCUUGGAAGUGUUGGA